UACAGAGGGGGCAAGCGUUGUUCGGAAUUACUGGGCGUAAAGGGCGCGUAGGCGGCCUGCUAAGUCGAACGUGAAAUCCCUGGGCUCAACCCAGGAACUGCGUCCGAUACUGGUUGGCUUGAAUCCGGGAGAGGGACGUGGAAUUCCAGGUGUAGCGGUGAAAUGCGUAGAUAUCUGGAGGAACACCGGUGGCGAAGGCGGCAUCCUGGACCGGCAUUGACGCUGAACAGCGAAAGCCAGGGGAGCAAACGGGG
rnacentral:rRNA from 1 species